UGGCAGUGACGGUUAACGGGGGAUUAGGGUUCGAUUCCGGAGAGGGAGCCUGAGAAACGGCUACCACAUCUAAGGAAGGCAGCAGGCGCGCAAAUUACCCAAUUCUAACAGCAUAAGAGAGGUAGUGACAAGAAAUAACAAUACAAGGUAAUUAAAUUGCUUUGUAAUUGGAAUGAUAGAAAUUUAAACACUUUUUAAAGUAUCAAUUGGAGGGCAAGUCUGGUGCCAGCAGCCGCGGUAAUUCCAGCUCCAAUAGCGUAUAUUAAAAUUGUUGCAGUUAAAAAGCUCGUAGUUGAAUUUCUGUUAAAAAUAACCGGUCUGCUUUUAUUAAAAGUGGUAUCUUGGUGUGUUUUUAGCAAUAAUGUCCUUUGAAAUGUUUUUUACUUUAUUGUAAUAAGUCAUUAUUUUGAGGAUUUUUACUUUGAGAAAAUUAGAGUGUUUCUAGCAGGCUUACGCUUUUGAAUACUGCAGCAUGGAAUAAUAAGAUAGGAUUUUAGUUCUACAUUAUUGGUUUUAAGAACUAAAUUAAUGAUUGAUAGGGAUAGUUGGGGGCAUU
rnacentral:rRNA from 1 species